rnacentral:lncRNA from 1 species
CAAAAACAGCUAUCUCUUGCGCCAAGAUGGCUUGAGCACUAGUCUACUAUAGAUGAAUACUUUUGCAUAUAUGAUCUUGGGCAAAAUCUGUUUUUGUAAUUCCAAGAUUGAAAUUGGUGGCAGACGAGAUAGCUAUGAAAACAACUCGGCUCUUUGUGUCCAUAAUGUGUGUCUACAGAAAUCUUGAAAAUUUAAACGAAUUGAGUUGCUUUGACCAAUUUGUUAAUGAUAGAUUUCUUAGGAUUUCCUUUUGAAAGGCUCAUUGUGAUAAACCACCAGGAUUCGAUGAUUUUGAAAAGCUCAGCAGCCUGAUGUUGCAGUUGAAUAAAAAUGUAUGACAUAUGAGACUCAAUCUCUAUGCAAUGCAAUGUCAAACUGAGGAAGCAAAAACAGAUCUUGCUUCCAUAAGCAAUAUAGGAUUCUCUAUUCUUUUGUAUAGUUGAUGAUGUUUACAAGUUAAUGUCUAUUAAUGGUGGACUGCAACGUAAAUGUCAAAAUGGGAUCAGGGCUAAAGUG